GCAAUGUUUGUUUUAAUAGUCCUAUAGUAUAAAGUAUCGUAUGUGUUAAAAUUAUAAGCGUUUAUCCUGUUGUCAUUACACAGAUCGGCUGGUGCUAUGUUACCAACUGGUGCGUCGAAGGCUGGAAGGCAAGAAUAUUCUUCCCUUCGAAACUAAAGCAUUAUAACGUCUGUCUAAUACAAUAAUGCCGCGUGAGAGAUUACCAAGCGACUGUAUUAUGUAUAGCAAUAACGCUAUAGUCAUAUCAACAUACCAUGCAGUGCGCACUGUGCAGUAUAAAGGCGGCGAUCUGCAUGGAAUAGUAUUAUAGUAAUAUAUGUUAAUAGGGCCAUUUAUACGUGAUAAAAUAAGUCGCGACUUACAUAAGACGCGACUUAAAUAAGUGGAGUUAUCGUAUAAAUGGUUCUCUACGGCUUUGGUCUUAUUUAUUUGCUAUAGCUAUAAUGUUGUUUUGGUUGUUUUUGUUUUAAUAUACAAGGCAUAAAAUUUUACGUUGUUUCAAGUUUCUGGCAUAUGUAGUUAGACUUUUUGUCCAAAAUUUCUUAUUUAAGACGCGACUUAAAUCGAGACUUAAAUAAGAACAGCUAAAAGACCUGUUCUUAUGUAAGACGCGUCUUAUCCAAGACGCG